rnacentral:rRNA from 1 species
AGAGUUUGAUCAUGGCUCAGAAUGAACGCUGACGGCGUGCCUAACACAUGCAAGUCGGAUGUGCCGCAAGGUGCAUGGCAGACGGGUGAGUAACGCGUGGGGAACCUACCUCUUUGUGGGGAAUAACGCUCCGAAAGGAGUGGUAAUACCGCAUGAGACCAUGAGCUGGGACGCUCAUUGUGAAACCUGGGGACCGUAAGGCCUGGGGCAAGGAGAGGGUCCUGCGUCUGAUUAGUUAGUUGGUGGGGUAACGGCCUACCAAGACUUCGGUCAGUAGCCGGCCUGAGAGGGUGAUCGGCCACACUGGAACUGAGACACGGUCCAGACUCCUACGGGAGGCAGCAGUGGGGAAUUUUGCGCAAUGGGCGAAAGCCUGACGCAGCAACGCCGCGUGGGUGAUGAAGGUCUUCGGAUCGUAAAACCCUGUCGUCAGGGACGAAGGUCGUACGUUGAAUAGGCGUGCGGCUUGACGGUACCUGGAGAGGAAGCCCCGGCUAACUCUGUGCCAGCAGCCGCGGUAAUACAGAGGGGGCAAGCGUUAUUCGGAAUUAUUGGGCGUAAAGGGCGCGUAGGCGGUUUUCUAAGUGAGAUGUGCAAUCCCCGAGCUUAACUUGGGAACUGCAUCUCAGACUGGGAGGCUAGAGUGCUGGAGAGGGUGGUAGAAUUCCACGUGUAGCGGUGAAAUGCGUAGAGAUGUGGAGGAAUACCAGUGGCGAAGGCGGCCACCUGGACAGUAACUGACGCUGAGGCGCGAAAGUGUGGGUAGCAAACAGGAUUAGAUACCCUGGUAGUCCACGCUGUAAACGAUGAACACUUGGU